AUCUAAUGCAGGUAGUUAUUACGCUGUCUACCCGUGUAAUCGAACCUAAAGUUUAAGCGACAUGUAAUGUCGUCGACCACGGGGGCCUCGCUAUGUUUAGCGGGGCUUUUAUUUUGC
rnacentral:ncRNA from 1 species